rnacentral:rRNA from 1 species
AGUGAACGCUGGCGGUAGGCCUAACACAUGCAAGUCGAACGGCAGCACAGUAAGAGCUUGCUCUUACGGGUGGCGAGUGGCGGACGGGUGAGGAAUACAUCGGAAUCUACUUUUUCGUGGGGGAUAACGUAGGGAAACUUACGCUAAUACCGCAUACGACCUACGGGUGAAAGCAGGGGAUCUUCGGACCUUGCGCGAUUGAAUGAGCCGAUGUCGGAUUAGCUAGUUGGCGGGGUAAAGACCCACCAAGGCGACGAUCCGUAGCUGGUCUGAGAGGAUGAUCAGCCACACUGAAACUGAGACACGGUCCAGACUCCUACGGGAGGCAGCAGUGGGGAAUAUUGGACAAUGGGCGCAAGCCUGAUCCAGCCAUACCGCGUGGGUGAAGAAGGCCUUCGGGUUGUAAAGCCCUUUUGUUGGGAAAGAAAAGCAGCAGGUUAAUACCCCGCUGUUCUGACGGUACCCAAAGAAUAAGCACCGGCUAACUUCGUG